rnacentral:rRNA from 1 species
AACGAACGCUGGCGGCGUGUUUAAGACAUGCAAGUCGCACGGUAUCAUUGAAGUAGUAAUAUUUUAAUGGUUCAGUGGCGCACGGGUGAGUAACACGUGAAUUACAUGCCCUAUAUAGGGGGAUAGCCCAGGGAAACUUGGAUUAAUACCCCAUAGUCCCGCAAGAGUACAGGUGGCCGCAAGGCUGUCGCUAUAGGAUUGCUUCGCGCCCUAUCAGCUCGUUGGUGAGGUAACGGCUCACCAAGGCUACGACGGGUACCUGGUUUGAGAGGACGAUCAGGCACACUGGAACUGAGACACGGUCCAGACACCUACGGGUGGCAGCAGUCGAGAAUAAUUCACAAUGGGGGCAACCCUGAUGGUGCAGCGCCGCGUGGAGGAUGACGGUCUUCGGAUUGUAAACUCCUGUCAUCUGGGAGUAAGACCUGGGCAUUAAUAGUGCACAGGGUUGAUAGUACCAGAAGAGGAAGGGACGGCUAACUUCGUGCCAGCAGCCGCAGUAAGAC